AUUUUGGUUGAAUUGAAAAGGAAAUACUAAUUAGAAAAGUUGGAUGACUAAAUAUUUUUUAACAGAUGUAGCCUAAAAGAAUAUUUGGUGAUAAUUUAUCUGUUUUCUAAAAAGUGUCAAAUUUAUAGAAAACCUAUUGAUGAGGUGUAAACCUAACAAGAUAAAAGUCUACUUUUACAUAUAUAGUAGGAAUUUAUCUACGAUUCGCAAUUGUUUUAGUUUUCUCUUAAAAUUUAUUAUAUAAUCACUGAUUUUACUUAUUCUAAUCUAUUAAAACAGAAUCCUACUUUUUAUCUACUUAAAAAUGUUGUCACUUAAAUUUGGACAUAUUCACAACUCAUUAGAAAUAAAUAUAUCCCUUAUAAUUAGGUAAUAACUAUGAUUAGGUUAUACAAUAUAUAUAUGGGAAAUUGCCACAAAUACCACUUUUCUUGUACCACAUUUCAUUUAUACCUUAACCAACUUUACCAUUAAAAUUUUAAUAUGUAAAGUACCAUUGUACCCUUAACUAAUCAAACAUAAACCUAGUGUCUUUCUCCCACGAUUUCUUCAAUCUCAGAUCCACUAAUAACAAUCUAUCAAAUUCUCCUCGGUGAUCAAAUCCAGCGAGAUUCAACGAUUCUGACGAGUUCUCCGGCGAGAUUUGACGACGCUGAUGAGUUCUCCGGCGAGAUUUGAUGACGCUGACGUCCGGUGAGAUUUGACGAAGACUUCAACCUCAAACGAAUAGAACAAGACGAUCUCUUACCACUAACGCGUAACAAAGGUGAGAGGAUAACAUAUGGUGAUUUUCGUCACUUUCUGUAAUUUUAGCUUGAUUUCUCAUAAUCGAUCAAUUUCUGGGAAAGAAGACGAAGCUUUUCUCAUGAGGUUUUAAAAAUUUCAAAUUUAUAAAACCUUAUAAAUAUUUAUCGAUGAGGAACAUAGUGUUAUGUAUUUAUCGUUUUUUGAUAUAUCUUGUUGAUCCUUCAAUCUUUAAGUAUUUUUGUGUUGAAUAUAUUUUUACUCCUACUAACUUAUAUUUCUUUCUUCUCCAAAUCUUUGUCCCGCGAUCAAAUUGGGAGUUGCUCCAAACGAAAUCACUGGUGAACUUCGCAAUCUCUGGGAGAACUUGGCGAGAUGUAGACGCGAUCCGGCGAACAGAGGAAGAAGAUUGUCGAAGGUGUCAAGAUAAUUUGAGAAGGAAGCAUCAAAGAAGGUGAUUUUUGUCUUCUACUUUUGUUUUUCUGAAAAUGAUUUGUUUAACUAAUUUCAUGUUGAAAAUUUUCAAACAUGAUCUGUUUAUGUGAUGUUUGACGAAGGUGUCGAUAUUGAAAUUGAAAUUAUACUAUGUGAUAUUUAUAAGCCCUUAUAAAUUUCAUAUUAUAGAAAAGACAUACUAUUUCUAUUAGUUUUGAUGUUUGAAUAUAUAUUGGGAUAUAAUUCAUUGGGAUUUCACUGUUGAUAAAGAAAGAGAAGGUUCAAUUAGUGUUAUUCCUAAAGAUAUAUCCUACAAAGAGUUGAUUAGGGUAGUUCUAGAAGAUUUUACAAUAAAUAACAGUAUAAAGCUUAGCUACGUUUCACCAUCAAAGUCUAUAUUUGGUACAGAAGAUGCUCUUCCAGUUUUUAUUAGGAAUGAUUUCCGAGUGGUAUCCUUUAGGAGCAAACAUAAAUAUAGUGGAAGACUUCUUCAGCUUUGACUAACAAUUUAUGAGAUUAACUCUUUGGUUAUGUUUUAUUUAUAAAGUUUUAUUAUUUACUUUGCCACAGUUACUAGUUCCAUGUUUUUAUGUUGCAAAAAUAUAUGACACAUUCCCUUUCAUUGUGACAAACAAUGAUGUCUUUAAUAAUGCCCUUGAGGUAUUUUAAACGAAUUAUUGGAUUCAUGCAUGUUUUUAUGUUGCAGAUGGAAAGACAUAGAUCACCAUUAAUUGUGUCAGAUAUGAUACAUACACGAGAUGAAGUUUCUAGUACUCAAGACUUCCUCAUUGCUGGAAAUAGCAAAAUCUUUGAGGUAUUUAUUACAAUUUAAGAUUUUAAGGACUUAUAAAAUAAUGAGAAAAAAUAUUCAUUUCAUGUACUUGAGGUUUUAUUACAUUGUUUAUAUUUACAAGGACUUAUAAAAUAAUCGUACAAGCUUAUCAGCUCAAUGCUUUUAUGUUGCAGAUAGAAACACAAAGAUCACCACUAAUUGGGUCAAGUAUGAUAAAACCCCGAGAUGAAGUUUCUAGUACACAAGACUUGCUUAUUCCUCAAAGUAGUAAUAUUAUUGAGCUAAAUUCAUACUCAAAGAAGACUAUGAAUGAUGUGGAGAAUAUGUGUGGUGAUAUGCAUAUCAAGUACCUCAAUUUCUUGAGGUAAUGCAAAGCUACUAGUUGUAGUUUAACUAACAAGGUUUAGUAUGUGUAAUAUAUGAGGUGAAAGGUUAUUAUUUUGGUAGUGUAACAUUAUGUUUUGCUACAUUAUGAGAUUCAUGUCUUUUAUGUCUUAUUUUGUGUAUAAUAUCUGAAGAAGCGGUGGAGAUGGAGCAUAGAUUUGUUGAGCUGCGGAAGCAUAUUUCUUCUUGUCUUACACAUGUUCGUCACUGGCUUUUAAUGUUAAAUGUGUUAUAAGAGUUAUAUUUUGCUCUG